rnacentral:rRNA from 1 species
AUUGAACGCUGGCGGCAUGCCUUACACAUGCAAGUCGAACGGCAGCACAGGAGAGCUUGCUCUCUGGGUGGCGAGUGGCGGACGGGUGAGGAAUACAUCGGAAUCUACCUUUUCGUGGGGGAUAACGUAGGGAAACUUACGCUAAUACCGCAUACGACCUUAGGGUGAAAGCGGAGGACCUUCGGGCUUCGCGCGGAUAGAUGAGCCGAUGUCGGAUUAGCUAGUUGGCGGGGUAAAGGCCCACCAAGGCGACGAUCCGUAGCUGGUCUGAGAGGAUGAGCAGCCACACUGGAACUGAGACACGGUCCAGACUCCUACGGGAGGCAGCAGUGGGGAAUAUUGGACAAUGGGCGCAAGCCUGAUCCAGCCAUGCCGCGUGGGUGAAGAAGGCCUUCGGGUUGUAAUGCCCUUUUGUUGGGAAAGAAAAGCAGUCGGUUAAUACCCGAUUGUUCUGACGGUACCCAAAGAAUAAGCACCGGCUAACUUCGUGCCAGCCGCCGCCGUAA